rnacentral:lncRNA from 1 species
UAGAAUUUAAAAUUUAUCUAGGAUUUGAUUUAAGGUUGAUUUAGGGUUUGAUUUAGGAUUUAGGAUUUUUUUAGGAUUUGAUUGAAUUCUAUUAGGAUUUUAACUAAGAUUAAAUUAGAACUUACUUGAAAUUUAUUUAAGAUAUAUUUGUGAUUAUUUUAAUAUUUUUUAAGGCUUUUUAAAGAUUAUUUUAAGUUUUAUCGUAGAUUUUCUUUCAAUUCCUUUUA